rnacentral:rRNA from 1 species
AGUUGUUGCGGUUAAAACGUUCGUAGUUGAAUUUGUGCUUCAGACGGGUGGUACAAUUACCAUUGUAGUUUGUACUAUACCUUAACUAUGCAAGCGUAUUACCGGUGGAGUUCUUAUAUAUGAUUAAUGCUUGCAUUUUUUUAUAUAUUCCUCCAUUUAAACCUGCUUCGUUGCUCUUCAUCGUGUGCUCUUGUGGGCCGGUACAGUUACCUUGAACAAUUAAAGUGCUUAAAGCAGGCUCGAAAUCCCUGAAUAUUUUGUGCAUGGUAUAAUGAAACAAGACCUCUGUUCUAUUUCAUUGGUUUAUAGAUUAAGAGGUAAUGAUUAAUAGAAGCAGUCUGGGAGCAUUAGUAUUACGACUCGCGAGGUGAAAUUCUUGGACCGUCGUAAGACUAUUUUAGCGAAAGCUUUGCCACAGAUGUUUUCAUUAUUCAAGAACGAAAGUGAGAGGUUGGAAGGCGAUCAGAUACCUCCCUAGUUCUAUCCAUAAACGAUCCAGCCAGCAAUUGGGUGUAGCUACUACUAUGGCUCUCUCUCUCGCUUCCCGGGAAACCGAUAGCUUGUGGGCUCCGGGGGAAGUACGGUUGCACAGCUGAAACUUAAAGGAAUUGACGGAAGGGCACCACCAGGAGUGGACCUUGCCGCUUAAUUUGACUCAACACGGGAAAACUUCCCAGGUCGGAACAUAAGCGUGUAGGACAGAUUGAUAGAUCUUUCUCGAAUCUCUCCGCGGUGGGGCAUGUCCGUUCUUAGUUCGUGGAGUGAUUGGUAUGGUUAAUUCCGAUAACGAACGAGACUCAAAUAUAUUAAAUAGAUUCUUUCAGGAUUAUGGUAGUGAAGCAUGUAUAGCCUUCAUUCAUGAUGGCAGUAAAACGUUGAAAGUUUGAAUGCGCUUAUAUUAGUGGAGCUGUACCUGUUGGUUUGUCCCAUUAUAAGGACACUAGCUUCUUAAAUGGACAAAUC